GAUGAACGCUGGCGGCGUGCCUAAUACAUGCAAGUCGAGCGAACAGACGAGGAGCUUGCUCCUCUGACGUUAGCGGCGGACGGGUGAGUAACACGUGGAUAACCUACCUAUAAGACUGGGAUAAAUUCGGGAAACCGGAGCUAAUACCGGAUAAUAUAUUGAACCGCAUGGUUCAAUAAUGAAAGACGGUUUUGCUGUCACUUAUAGAUGGAUCCGCGCCGCAUUAGCUAGUUGGUAAGGUAACGGCUUACCAAGGCAACGAUGCGUAGCCGACCUGAGAGGGUGAUCGGCCACACUGGAACUGAGACACGGUCCAGACUCCUACGGGAGGCAGCAGUAGGGAAUCUUCCGCAAUGGGCGAAAGCCUGACGGAGCAACGCCGCGUGAGUGAUGAAGGUCUUCGGAUCGUAAAACUCUGUUAUUAGGGAAGAACAAAUGUGUAAGUAACUAUGCACGUCUUGACGGUACCUAAUCAGAAAGCCACGGCUAACUACGUG
rnacentral:rRNA from 1 species